GCCCUGGGAAUCUCUCAGACAUCCCUGGUUUUGUCCCUGGCAUUGCCGGGUGAAAGAGAUGAGUCCAAGCUUGAAAUUAAAAAUUAAAAGCAUAGCCUGAAAUUAGGGAGUGGAAAUUACAUCGUCCUGUCGGGGGGGAGGAAGACAAAGUUCAGAAUGAACCUGCUCUCAGAUUCCUUAUGGGAAAAUACAAGUUUUUAAAGUUUAACAAUCCAUUUUAUGUGGUUCAGUCGCCCAGAUAAAAACACAGAGAACAUUUUGGCAGAGAAAGCACUGGACUGGCAUCCCGGCAAAAGGUCUGUCCUUCCAGUAACCAGUGACACAAUCUUACACAGCAAAUUUGGAUAAGAGAGACUGGGAAACUGCUUGUGGUGCUAGAAAUGGAAGAAAUGAACGUAUCCAAGGGGAUGGAAAGACCCAGGGGAGGCUGACAGGGCAUUGCUGAAAGGCUGCUUGGACUUGGCCAGCUCCAGUGGUGAUACUAUGCCACUGAUUAUAAUAAAAAAUGUAAACCAUU